CCCUUAGAUGUCCGGGGCUGCACGCGCGCUACACUGAAGGAAUCAGCGUGCUAAAACCAUUGUCGAAAGGCAUUGGUAAACCCAUUAAAAUCCUACGUGAUUGGGAUCGGGAAUUGCAAUUAUUUCCCUUGAACGAGGAAUUCCCAGUAAGUGUGGGUCAUAAGCCCGCGUUGAUUACGUCCCUGCCCUUUGUACACACCGCCCGUCGCUGCCCGGGACUGAGCCGUUUCGAGAAAAGCGGGGACUGCUGCUGUCGGGGCUUUCGGGCCUUGGCUUCGGUGGAAACCGCUUUAAUCGCAGUGGCUUGAACCGGGCAAAAGUCGUANCA
rnacentral:rRNA from 1 species